rnacentral:rRNA from 1 species
AUUGAACGCUGGCGGCAGGCCUAACACAUGCAAGUCGAACGAGUGGCGGACGGGUGAGUAAUGUCUGGGACACUGCCUGAUGGAGGGGGAUAACUACUGGACACGGUAGCUAAUACCGCAUACCAUCGGAUGUGCCCAGAUGGGAUUAGCUAGUAGGUGGGGUAAAGGCUCACCUAGGCGACGAUCCCUAGCUGGUCUGAGAGGAUGACCAGCCACACUGGAACUGAGACACGGACCAGACUCCUAAGGGAGGCAGCAGUGGGGAAUAUUGGACAAUGGGCGAAAGCCUGAGGCAGCAAUGCCGCGUGUAUGAAGAAGGCGUUCGGGUUGUAAAGUACUUUGAGCGAGGAGGCGUUACUCGCAGAAGAAGCACCGGCUAACUCCGUGCCAGCAGCCGCGGUAAUUC